rnacentral:lncRNA from 1 species
GUUUCGAUGUUGGGUGGCUUUUGGGUCACGAGUUAGGCUGGUCAACCGUACAGAUCUGGUCAAACUUCGGGUCAGGUCGACUCUCGGUCAACAAAAGUCAACGAUGGUCAAAGUCUUAGUCAGGUGGUCGUAUUUGAGUGGCACGUUUAUCGAGGAAACCUUUUUCGUGUCGGUCUUGAGCGGUUAAUUCGAGUAGGGAUGUCUUGGUGAUUAUUUGCAUGUUAUGCCGGUUCGUAUCGUUGACACAAUACUUUUGGAUAUAACACGCACCCUAGGUCGAUAGGUACUUUGUUGGGAACUUGUUGUCUGGAGUAGCUGGAGUGGUCACG